AUCGCUUAAAUGAAAAGGUAACAUGAACAGAGUGUUUUGUAAAAAAAAAAAAAAAGUUUAAUAUCUGAUACGUCCCCUAUCUGGGGACUACAUAUUAAACGGAUUUUUGAGACUGGGAGUCGGAGAAGGAGCUUGCUCCGUCCGCUCCACGCAUCGACCCGGUAUUGCAGUACGUCCGGGAACGGUGCGCCUCUA